rnacentral:rRNA from 1 species
AUUGAACGCUGGCGGCAGGCCUAACACAUGCAAGUCGAGCGGAUGAAGGGAGCUUGCUCCUGGAUUCAGCGGCGGACGGGUGAGUAAUGCCUAGGAAUGCCUGGUAGUGGGGGAUAACGUCCGGAAACGGGCGCUAAUACCGCAUACGUCCUGAGGGAGAAAGUGGGGGAUCUUCGGACCUCACGCUAUCAGAUGCGCCUAGGUCGGAUUAGCUAGUUGGUGGGGUAAAGGCCUACCAAGGCGACGAUCCGUAACUGGUCUGAGAGGAUGAUCAGUCACACUGGAACUGAGACACGGUCCAGACUCCUACGGGAGGCAGCAGUGGGGAAUAUUGGACAAUGGGCGAAAGCCUGAUCCAGCCAUGCCGCGUGUGUGAAGAAGGUCUUCGGAUUGUAAAGCACUUUAAGUUGGGAGGAAGGGCAGUAAGUUAAUACCUUGCUGUUUUGACGUUACCAACAGAAUAAGCACCGGCUAACUUCGUG